CUAGUCGCGGCGCCCAACCUCAGCCUCCUGCUACUGCAGCCGCCGCUACUGGGAAAGGAGGGGGGGGUGUUUGCCGAACCCGGCGCGCUGGCUGAUGGGUAAAGUGCAGGUGGUGUCCCACAAUGCUCAUCAGUGACCGUUCUGGAGAUCAUUCUCAACUUUGCUUCACUGGAGCCAGAUACACAGGAAACAGCCCCUCCCCUGCUAAAGCCCCGGGAAUGUUUGAUUUCCCAUUUCCUGUUUGAUUAGCAUUGGGAGCAUGCCAGCUUGAGCACAGCUGAUCAUGGAGACUACAAGCCCCAAACACGCUCCAGCCUGGUCUACACAGGAGGUGGUAGAUCUCAUCGCUGUGUGGGGAGGAGAGUCUGUGCAGGCAGAGCUCUGAUCUAGCAGAAGAAACGCUGACAUCUAUGCAAAGAUCGCUCAUGGAAUGGAGGAGAAGGGCUACAUGAGGGACACACAGCAGUGCCGUGUGAAAAUAAAAGAACUUUGCCAAGCAUACCAGAAAGCAAGGGAGGCAAACAGUCAUUCUGGUGCGGAACCCCACACAUGCUGGUUCUACAAACAAGCUACGUGCAACUCUUGGGGGUGACCCUACCAGCACCCCCACAAGCAACGUGGACACCUCACAGGUGUGUGAGUCUAGGGACAACAGGAAGGACGAUAUGGUGGAUGAGGAAGAGGAGGAGGAGAAGAAUGGGAGACAGGUGAGCGAUGGAUCCAUUCUCCCCAAGAGCCAGGAAAUAUUUUUAACCCUGGAGCCCUGUGGGUCACAGGACAUCAUGGUGGCCGACCGUGAUGUCAGGGAAGGCACCUCUGCUGGAAAUGUGUCCUUUAGUGUGUCUUCAACACCUGAAAGCAGACUUUCGCUGAUUAGAAGGAGGAGAAAGAACACAGGGGGACAUGUUCACCGAGAUAAUGAACGCCUAUGGGAGAGCUGACACAGAGCUGAAAGCGUGGAGAAUUUCACUGUUCGAGAAGUUAGACAUGGACAUGGAGAGCAGGAAUGCUUCCAGUGAGCAAGAGCAUGCGACACAGAAUAAGAGCUUUGGAUUAUGAGGGACCAAGCAGGCUUGUUGAGGCAGCUGGUUGAACUGCAGGAACAGAAGCAGGAGGGUAGAGUCCCUGGUGGACAGCCAGCCAGCAUCCCCUGGAGCAGAAUAACCCUUCCCCAAGCAUUCCAUGAGGCAUGAGUGAAAAGUCCAUUAUCCUUUUCACUUAACUCAGGGGGAGGGUACAAGGAACACAAGGCACCCAUUCACAGACCUUUGCUGGUCUGGAAUGUGGUGUUAUGUUACACAGGUGA